rnacentral:pre_miRNA from 1 species
UACAUGUUAACGCUAAAUGGCUACAGGAGGAAUUCAAAGGACUAUAAAUUUUUUAGUCUUUUGACUUCCUCCAAUAGCCAAUUAGCAUCAGCAUGUA